UACGUAGGGGGCGAGCGUUGUCCGGAUUUAUUGGGCGUAAAGAGCUCGUAGGCGGUUUGGUAAGUUGGAUGUGAAAUCUCCAGGCUCAACUUGGAGGGGUCAUUCGAUACUGCCAUGACUAGAGUUCGGUAGGGGAGUGUGGAAUUCCUGGUGGAGCGGUGAAAUGCGCAGAUAUCAGGAGGAACACCCGUAGCGAAGGCGGCGCUCUGGGCCGGAACUGACGCUGAGGAGCGAAAGCGUGGGGAGCGAACAGG
rnacentral:rRNA from 1 species